rnacentral:tRNA from 1 species
GGGCGUUAGUUCAAUAGGUAGAACGCCACACUUCCGUGGAGGUUAUCGGUUCGAGUCCGAUACGAGUUCUCU